AUUGAACGCUGGCGGCACGCCUAACACAUGCAAGUCGAACGAGUGGCGGACGGGUGAGUAAUGUCUGGGAAAUUGCCUGAUGGCGGGGGAUACCUCCUGGAAACGGUAGCUAAUACCGCAUACCAUCGGAUGUGCCCAGAUGGGCUUAGCUAGUAGGUGGGGUAAAGGCUCACCUAGGCGACGAUCCCUAGAUGGUAUGGUAGGAUGAUCAGCCAAACUGGAACUGAGACACGGUCCAGACUCCUACGGGAGGCAGCAGUGGGGAAUAUUGCACAAUGGGCGCAAGCCUGAUGCAGCCAUGCCGCGUGUAUGAAGAAGGCCUUCGGGUUGUAAAGUACUUUCAGCGGGGAGGCGUUACCCGCAGAAGAAGCACCGGCUAACUCCGUGCCAGCCGCCGCGGUAAUAC
rnacentral:rRNA from 1 species